ACAAACUUGGUCAUUUAGAGGAAGUAAAAGUCGUAACAAGGUUUCCGUAGGUGAACCUGCGGAAGGAUCAUUAAAAAAUCACCUCUGAGCUGCAAAGCUCUUUUAUUUUGUGAAACGUAAGUGGUGCUGGCGCCGUGGGAGGCUGUGUGUAGCCUGUGAGCCCGUGUGAGCGGGCCACAGCCUGCGCACUGCCGGCCACCAGCCAGUGUCCUGCAAACGUGUUGGGCCUGAAUUGAGGAAGGUGCUUACAAAUAUCAUACAACUUUCAACAGUGGAUCUCUUGGCUCUUGCAUCGAUGAAGAACGCAGC
rnacentral:misc_RNA from 1 species